UAAUACGGAGGGUGCAAGCGUUGCUCGGAAUUAUUGGGCGUAAAGGGUAGGUAGGUGGUCUCAUUUGUCUGGGGUGAAAUCCUUGAGCUUAACUCAAGAAGUGCCUCAGAAACGGUGAGACUAGAGUUCUGGAGAGGGUCGUGGAAUUCCCGGUGUAGCGGUGAAAUGCGUAGAGAUCGGGAGGAACACCAGAGGCGAAGGCGGCGACCUGGACAGAUACUGACACUCAACUACGAAAGCGUGGGGAGCAAACAGGAUUAGAUACCCUGGUAGUCCACGCUGUAAACGAUGGGUACUAGGUUUGGUGGGUCUUGACCCCCGCCGAACCGGCGCUAACGCAAUAAGUACCCCGCCUGGGAAGUACGGUCGCAAGACUA
rnacentral:rRNA from 1 species